AGACCAUACCCACUACCGUUGCGCGAUAUGAGUGCGCAACGUAAAUCCAAGUGUUACGCAUAAAUUAAACUGAACAUAUCUGUGUCAGGGCUAGAGUUACAUCAAGACUCCACUGUACACCAAAAUGGACAGCUUUCAUGUGUAUGAGGAUGGUAAGUGUAACAGGCAUCUUGGUUUGUGUUGUUUGUGGUUGGUUACCAUUGUAGCCACCGGCUAACACAACGUGUAGGCCUACUGUUGUGAAACUCGAAACCUGCACACUUUGCCAUGUUUGCAGUGCUUUUCCUACAACAUCAUGAAGUCUCUCUAUCCUUUGUUCCCACUGCAGGUUUUUGGCUCCUUUUGUAGUUGUUGGUCUUUUUAUCGAACCAAAAAAAAAAAAAAACAUAGAUUGUGUUUGGACAGAACAAAUGAGAGAACAGAAAUUAGGGGGGGAAAACUAUGAAAUGUUGACAUAACAUCCCUCUGCCCAGUGAAAGACAGUUAAAACACCUACCCAUGCAGCAAUAAACUUUGCUUAGCUAGACAAGGUCAGAGGUUAGAUAUUUGAGGGCGCGUAAACAUAAAGUCGUUUUUUGUUUGUUUGUUAAGAUUGACAAAUAAUGUACUACAACACUGCCAGUUUUCAUUUUGACAUGAAUGCCGGUUAUUUGCUUAUAUAGUCAGUCAAACUGUUCUCAAUGACAAAGUACAACCCACAGGCCCAUGACCUACAUAAAAAAAACAUACAGUUAAGUUGAAGAAAGACAUCUUUUGUGCCACAUCAAGUUCCUGUUAAGUACUUCCUGGUUGAUGUAGGCUAGACUAAGAGUAUGUGUGUAUCUAACAUUUAUUCUGAGCAGCUUCUCAGGUACCACAAAGCCUUUCAUGCCCCAUAUUAAAAAAUGGCAUUUGAUUUGGGAAGUGGAAAACCAUUUGGAUCAUCACAGACAGAGGGCAGCAUGACUCUAUUUUAUUCAACACAGAUUUAUCAUCAAAUUGCCUAAUCAUGUUGUCACAUGAGACUGUAGUCUCACUCUUGCCAUACAUCCCUGUUUUCUGUCUGUUCUUCCAUUGUUCAUCUGCUUGUUGUAUUAACAAACAGGAACUCAGUUUUAAUGUCACACUUAAAGAGCUCAUGUCUAUUAGUAUAAUAUCUGGAGAUUUUACUUCUAGAGAUGAGAUAGGCUGCCCUUUAAAAAGAAAUAGGCUGUGUGGCCAGUGAUGCAUAUCAAACCCUAAUAAAAAAAGCAAAAUCUUUGAUUAGGUAAAAAUGUGCAGGCAUCUGGCUGAUGGGAACCUAUGGGAAUAUGUUAAACAGACCUACGUUUGUCUGUAGGAAACUUCUAAAAGUUUAUCUAAUCUUCAUAAUACAUUACAUACAAAUGUGUUUUCAGACCAUGAGUGACUUUAGCAAAAUAAAAUAUAAUUACAUGCUGAGUGGAUAAAUGCUCAAGGAGCUUUUUCUGGUUGUUGAACUUAAUUGAUGCCCUCUGGCUAUCAGCAAUAAAGACUCAUUUUCAAGAGAAUACACAGGCACUGUAACUAGGAGAUAAAACUGGAUCUUUUAAGGCUAAUGACCUACACCCAGCUAGUCAUGCACGCCAUCAUGUGGGUCCUGAAACGUAUAUGCUGUCCCUACUAAAUAGCUGCAUUCUGUUUAUGUUGGAGGUUGUUUUCUUUAUUGUCGUGUGAAUUCAUCCCACACAUGCAAAUUACCCGUCAUUAUGGACAAUCUCUGACAUAGUAGCCAUACAUAUUCAGGAUUCACUUAUCUAGCAAAGAAAAAUCACAUUAUUUGGCUGUAACAACAGGGAUAAAACUGUUUGUAGCGACAGAGUGAUCAGACUGACAAUCAUUUUCCUUUAUGUUUCCUUGAAGGAUUUGUAUAGGAGAGCAAGCACUGAUGCUGCUCGGGGCAAGGCAAAGCCAGCUGCCAUAGAUGUUCCCUGAAAAGCAGGACAGACAGCUGCCAGGUGAGCAGAUGGAUCCCAUUAUUACAACAGAGACGACCAGAAACAUGAAACCGGAUUCUAAAAGGUCUCUUUGUCUGCACAAGAACAGGUAUUGCUGAAUUCAGUUUGUAUUAAUUCACCACAUAGCUGGGUAAUUAGUAUCCAUAGUUUCAUGCAAAACACUUACUUUAACAUGUAAAAAAGGCUCAGUGUGAGUGCCGAAAACCACCGAGUACACAAGCUUCAAAAGGCUUCAGGACAGGGAGUCUGUUUUAAUCUUUAAUUUCAAAGAGAUAAAAUGUUUAAAUAUCUCAGGGACAAAUUUGCAUCAUAAUUUCUUCUGACGACUGGGAGUUGAAAGUCAGUGGGCAAUGAGUGUUGCUAACCUUUAAAUAGAAAGAGAUAUUUUUUCAUUACCAUCUAAUUAAAGAACAAUAAUAUGAACUUUUCAAGAACAAAAAUUUGAACGGCCCAAAUUAGAAAAGUGGAUAUGAGAAGGAGGAAAAAAAGGGAGAGAAGGUCUAUUUCUUUUUUUGACCAUAUCUCAUAUGGUUGAAAGAUAACUCUCGCUUUUGGUCUUGACAGGCUUUGAAUAAAGUGGAAAGAAGUUAGAGUUGAAAGUUUUGAAUCUCAUGCUUAGAUGAUAUCAAAGUACAUAGCAAGCUAUCAAAGGAGUGCAAAUAUAUCUGUUUGAUUUUUAUGAUCAGUGUACUGAUAAGACUGAUGAUGAAUUGACAGUUCAGUUCUGGUUGUAAUUCAAAAUACACUUUAUAUACACCUAUAUAUGCAUGUAAUAGGUAAUUAGUCCAAUAAAGGGAAUUUCUUAUUAUUCUGAUUGUACAAUCUUAUCAGAUUGAAAACAAAAAGUGAGGUACUUUUGUUUACAUAUCAACAAGCAUACAAAUUCUGACACAGUAGGUGCAGGUGUGUGAUCUGGGAUUUCCAUAUAGAGAACUGUGUGUAACAGGCUCUAAAGAGAGUAAAAAUGCGGUAAAUAUGUACUUUUUCACUGUUAAAGAAAAGAACAAAAUUGUGACCUGUAAAACACAGGCUGUGGGCAUUCCAAGAAGAAGAAAAAGGUCUCCAAGUCGUGACACAUCAGCUGCUUCGACUAGCAUUGAAAUCAUUAAACGGUGAGCCCUUUAGUGCCAGUUUGUGAUCUGCAGCGAGGCAUCUGAAAGCAAGAGGAAUUAACAAUGUAAUCACUGAAUUUACAGUUCUUUAUGAGCCAUCUUUUACCUGAGAUUGAUUUUUUUCAGCUACCGCCAUAGUUGAAUGGAGUCCCAUGAAAAUGAUAUUGUCGCACGCUCUGGUUCGCAGUAGCAGAAAUAAGUGAUAAGAGUCAGAGCUAUUCUGUUUUUUUUUUCAAAUCAGUCAGAAUUGGUAAGAAUUAGAUAAAAUUGCACCAAUUGUACACACAUCUGUUUGGAUGUCAGUAUUGAUAACCAAUAACCCAAAAUAAACAUACCGCGCAUCCCUAAUUUUAAUCAAUCCCUCCAAGCUGCUGUGAGUCAUAUCUACAACAAUGAAAUCUAAUUAAACCAAAUCCUGUGCCGUCUCCAAUCUUGUGGAUCUGUCUAAUCACAGCAACUUUUCUGCAGCUUUGACUGCUGAAAGUCUUGUCAUAUACGCCUCCAAAUUCACUUGCUUGGUAUCAGAACAGCCCCUUUAGGUUGCCAGUGUUGGAUGAAGUAUAUUUGGGAUGCUGCAUGUUAAACUGCACUUUUUUUGUGGUAAAUCAGGGAGCUGCACUGACCGGACAAGAGCUGUGGUGUAGUCUUUUCUCUCAGAAGCAAUAUCUGAAUACUUUUGUAAUCUACACAGUGAACCCAUAUUCAUAAACCCAUUACACAGUGGCAUCUUUUGAUUAUAGAAGACAUAGAAGAGAAAAUGAUUGACUGGAUUUUUUAAAAGUGUGUUGAGUAUUCUAUUUCUCUUUAUUUCACUUUACUGCACAUUCUGAUUGUGUGUGACUUUCAAAAGGUUGGGUUAACCUUUCAAAAUCCUUUUGACCUAUUCAGAAAAUUGACUGCACCACAGAAUAAUUUUGAACUGAUAAAAUAUAGGAAAAUUAAUCCUGGGUUUGCAGGAAAAAAAAUAAUUAAAUAGUAGGCAGAGGAGAUUUGCUAUUCUCCGACUUUUGCAUACGCUUUAAUGUAUAAAGGCCUCUGAGUGCAGUCCCUAUUUGAUGAACAAUUCAAUUGCCCAUGGCUGGUGGAGCUAAUUAGAAUCUAUUUAUAAUCAUAGGGGAAUAUAUCCAAAGAGCUACCCUAGUGUGGAGGCUAGAAAGGGAGAGAGAAGGGCUGAAGAGGUGGUGCUAUAAAAUCAGUGAGCAUGCUAUGAUAUCUGAAACCGAGGCGCUCACAUCCAAGGAGCCAGACAAAACCAAAUUAGCAGGUUUGCUCAAGACACUAUAGAGUUUCUCUCUUUUCUUCAUAGUGAAGAGAAAAGCUUCAGAGCAGCUCUCUAUGACACAUUCCUGAGUAACACAAGGGCAUAAGCUGAGCGAAGAAGAGGAAUCACUUGAUCUUUAAGUUUUAGAAACUCCUUAUUAUCACAUCCAGUCAUAAAGCUCUCAUGGGCCAUUACAGCGGGCUCCCUCUCACGAGGAUAUGAAAGAAACGAAGAAGCAAAAUAUGUUAGCAACAUGAUCAAACCGUCACUACUUGUUUGACAAAAACACGAUUAAGUCUCUUUUGCAUAUUAAACAGGAGGGAUUGUGAUUCUGUUCCGCGCGUCUCUGGCUAACCUUCAUUUGCACUCAGCGGUUGCAUCAUCAAAGAUUCCAACCAGGAGCCGGCUCUGCUUCACCGCUUUGUGCAAAAAACAUGACCAUGCUGUCAGCUCUCUGCAGCCAGCCACUAAUGUUUAUGCAAUGAUAUGACCCAGAGCAGACGCAAAGCAGAGAGUUCAGUGUGGACCACCCAUCAUGCACUCACAUGGAGGCAUUAGAAGUGUCUGUAACUGGACUUCGUGAUCACUAAAAUACCCCAUCACCAGCACACAGACAAUGUAGGAUACAAGCAGGAGCAGACAGGUCAAAACACAGUACUUUGUUCGGUUUCAUCAAAAGUUUUGUAGUCAUAUCAGCUGCUAUAAAACCACAUUGUUCUUUUUUCAGCCAGAGUUUAUUUAAAGGCGAGGAUACAGAAAUAGUACCAAACAGAAACAGCCUCUGAUCCAGUUAUAAUAACCUGAUUUGCUCCACGUCAAGAAAUCAUUGAUUGACUGCAUAAGGCAAGCUUUAAGAAUUUCAUACUUUUGUGUGGUAAUAAGGAUCCCUCGCCGCUCCCUUAUGUGCCAUAAUUUCCAUGCUGUCAUCAUUUUCAGUCCCCUAUUGCAAAUGCCCUUUUGUCCCCUGUUAUGUUCCACUCAGGAGGAAUACAGCCCCUCUGCACUUUCUCUUUUGGAAACAGCAAAGCACGGCCAGGUAGUGGGCUCCUCUACAGGCACACCCAGGAGGCCUUAUUAAAGCCAAGGUUAAAUCUCACCCCUCUCUGCUCUUACACCUCAGUGCUGGUGUCCACUAUGAGAGUUCUCUAAUAUCCUGGAUUCCCCACUCUACCUCCUCAGAGACACCAAGAGCACUGCUGUGUUUUUUCCUUUGUUCUGAUCACCCUGUGGAAAGACCAACAAAAGGGCGA